rnacentral:rRNA from 1 species
UACAGAGGGGGCAAGCGUUAUUCGGAAUUAUUGGGCGUAAAGGGCGCGUAGGCGGCUUUUCAAGUGACGGGUGAAAUCCCUCGGCUUAACCGAGGAACUGCCUGUCAGACUGGAAGGCUUGAGACCGGGAGAGGUGAGUGGAAUUCCCAGUGUAGCGGUGAAAUGCGUAGAUAUCCGGAGGAACACCGGUGGCGAAGGCGGCUUCCUGGACCGAUUACUGACGCUGAGGCGCGAAAGCUAGGGGAGCAAAGCGGG